rnacentral:rRNA from 1 species
CCCAGACUCCUACGGGAGGCAGCAGUGGGGAAUAUUGCACAAUGGGGGAAACCCUGAUGCAGCAACGCCGCGUGGGUGAAGGAGCGUUUCGGCGCGUAAAGCCCUGUCAGCGGGGAAGAAGAAAGACGGUACCCGACCAAGAAGCCCCGGCUAACUACGUGCCAGCAGCCGCGGUAAUACGGAGGAUGCGAGCGUUAUCCGGAUUUAUUGGGUUUAAAGGGUGCGUAGGCGGGAUGCCAAGUCAGCGGUAAAAAUGCGGUGCUCAACGCCGUCGAGCCGUUGAAACUGGCGUUCUUGAGUGGGCGAGAAGUAUGCGGAAUGCGUGGUGUAGCGGUGAAAUGCAUAGAUAUCGCGCAGAACCCCGAUUGCGAAGGCAGCGUACCGGCUCCACACUGACGCUGAGGCACGAAAGCGUGGGUAUCGAACAGGAUUAGAUGCCCCAGUAC